UACGGAGGGAGCUAGCGUUGUUCGGAAUUACUGGGCGUAAAGCGCGCGUAGGCGGCCUUGCAAGUUAGAGGUGAAAGCCCGGAGCUCAACUCCGGAACUGCCUUUAAAACUGCAUAGCUUGAAUCCGGGAGAGGUGAGUGGAAUUCCGAGUGUAGAGGUGAAAUGCGUAGAUAUCAGGAGGAACACCAAUGGCGAAGGCAGCUCGCUGGGACGGUACUGACGCUGAGGCGCGAAAGCGUGGGGAGCAAACAGG
rnacentral:rRNA from 1 species